UACAGAGGUCUCAAGCGUUGUUCGGAUUCAUUGGGCGUAAAGGGUGCGUAGGCGGCGCGGUAAGUCGGGUGUGAAAUCUUGGAGCUUAACUCCGAAACUGCAUUCGAUACUGCCGUGCUCGAGGACUGGAGAGGAGACUGGAAUUUACGGUGUAGCGGUGAAAUGCGUAGAUAUCGUAAGGAAGACCAGUGGCGAAGGCGGGUCUCUGGACAGUUCCUGACACUGAGGCACGAAGGCCAGGGGAGCAAACGGG
rnacentral:rRNA from 1 species